rnacentral:lncRNA from 1 species
UUUUCUUUUCUUUUUUUAAAAACUUAAAAUCACUUUCUUUCUCUGCUAGGGUUUCAACCCAGCUUUAGUGCCGCCGUCAGUCCCUCGCAUCUCCACCAUGGCUCCACCGCAGAUGGUGGCCGGAGUUGCGCAACACAUGCCUUUUUAGCCCCGCUUCUCGCGUUUUGAGGGCCUAACAUCCUCACUCUCGAAAAAUGGAAAGAAAAUAAUAAAAAAGGUCUCCCUUCGUCCCUUUAUACUCGGUUCCGGCGACGGAGAAGAGGUCUUCCGACACCGGGACCGUGAUACGCCCAAGUAAGUCUUCGCUCUCUCUCUGUUUUAUAUUUAUUGUUAAAAAAACUAUUUGUAAAAGAAAAUGAACCGGAAAAUAAAAAAAAAAUAAAAAAGAAAAAGAAAACUGCAAACAGAGAAACAAAAGAAAAAGAAAACGAAUAGAUUUUUCAACCUUUUUCAAUCUGCGUUGUGAUUUUUGAUUAACUUAUGUGCGUAAAAAAAAACGUACAACGAGCAUAUUUUGGCUUUUAUAGCCAUAUUACAACUGUUCACUUUCAUCUUUUUUUUUUUUCGCUCUUUAUUUCUUUGCAUUCUCCUGUUGCUUUGCAUUCAUUCUUCUCUGCAGGUGUCAGGCGAGGCCGAUGGUGGUGGCAGAAGGCAUGCGCGAUGAGGCAUUGGGCAAAGGCGGCGGCUAGCUUGAGGCUAGGGUUGCUAUGCCUUUCUGCUGAAAAUGUUAAUGCUGUGGGCUAGGUUUUUAAUUUUUGGGCCUGAUUUGGGUUAAGGGUUUUGGGCCUUAUUGGGUUUGUUUAAUUGUGGGCUUGGUUUGUUAAGCAUUGGGCCCGGGGCAAAAAAAUGGGCUCUACACUCUUCAUCAGCCUAAAGAAUAAAUUCUCAUAAACAAAAUCACCUUUUUG